UACGUAGGGGGCAAGCGUUGUCCGGAAUCAUUGGGCGGAAAGAGCGUGUAGGCGGCCCGAUAAGUCCGCUGUGAAAGUCCAGGGCUCAACCCUGGGAUGCCGGUGGAUACUGUCGGGCUCGAGUCCGGAAGAGGAGUGUGGAAUUCCUGGUGUAGCGGUGAAAUGCGCAGAUAUCGGGAAGAACACCUAUGGCGAAGGCAGCUCUCUGGGACGGUACUGACGCUGAGACGCGAAAGCGUGGGGAGCGAACAGG
rnacentral:rRNA from 1 species